AAUGUGGAUAGACACGUGUCGCUCUAGUCAUAAUAAGGUGAACAGAAACACGAAUCGAAGACAACGAAAACAACCCAAAAUUUGACAGAACUUACGGUUACACCAGAAUUUACAGUACAUAAAAGUCCCAUUCUAAAAUUAGUUAAAACAGGUGCAAGUAACUUGCAAACUGCCUACACAUUACAAAGACCUAGGUACACAUCUUCAACCUGAAGAUAAAUACAUAUUUUUUACUUUUCCUCUGAAGAAUUAUUUCAAAAACAAAAACAAAAACAAAAAAUCUCUGCAAGAGCAAGUUAUUCUUUCUUGAUGCCUUGUCUGUUAAACCCUGCUGUUAGCAGGUAGAGGGAGAACACCAUCAAAGAAAUCACCAAAAUAGCCGUGGGGUUCAUGUACUAGCCUUGAGAUGAUAUCUCUUAGUGUGAUUAGUCCUUCAAGGUUCCCAUCAUCAUCCACAACAUAGACCCUGUGAAUUUGCUCUUUGUCAAGCAAUUGAAUCAACUCUUUCACUGUACAGUCCCUUUUGCAUGUAAUGAAUUCACUUGACAUUGGGAAUGCGUUUUUAUUCUUCUCUAAGUAGCUUCUAACGGAGGUCAGGAAGUCCUUCACUGUAAUAGUUCUGUCAAAAUGUGAACAUCCAAUGAGUAUGUAGUAAUGAAACAGAUAGAACAACUAAAGAAAGAAAGAUAGAAGAUAUCAGCAAUGCGGUCUAAACACAGUUUUAAUAAAAGGUCCGCGUCCACAGUUCAGGUCGUGACACAAGGUUUUUGAUGUCUCUGACCGUGAUUGAGGUCGCAUCAGCCAUAUUUGACAACAUUUCUCAGCAAUAUCAAGGACUGUGGCGCAACUGCGAAUCACAAUUUAAAACCUCUGACAUACCUAUAAUCAUGAUAGAUUUCUGGAGCAGUUAGCAAGAAUUGAACAUCUCGCAAGCUUAUAUUACCAACUGCCGUGGUGCCACCUCUUUUGAUUACAGGCACCCCUCCAACCCUCUUUUUCCUCAUCUCUUUAAAUGCUUGAAGGACUGGUUCAUCCUCAUAAACCUGAAAAGAAUGAAACGAUCCAUUGUCAAGUUCAUCAAGAUCGACAAGUUUACUUUACUUGAAAGGGGAAAUGAAAUAACUAUUUUGAAGCAUUUUCCAUAUAUGCACACACAUUUAAGAAAUGCAAGAUAGCAUUUUACUCUGUAUGCACUAGAGUUAUGCAGAAUUCAUACUUGACAAGGUUCAAUGCAAUGAGAGCUUAUAUGAUAUAGUACACACCUUGAUGAUCUGUUUUGGUGUCACAAGGGGAAGACCAACAUCAGAUAGUUCCUUGGUUCCCCAACUUUCGAACCAUUGAAGUCCGGCACAUUCUGCCAACAUAUGAAUCACGGCGGGUUGUGUGAUGAUGUUAUCAAUUGUACCAGAACCCAAGUCUACCACAGGAACACUCUUCAUUUUGUACUUAGAAAGCAACAAGAGCAUGGUUAGAAAUGAGUUUGAUCUCUCCAAAGCAAGAAACGGAGCCCAUCGAAAUGUUCCUGAAAUAUCUUGAACCUGUUUGCGAAAAAGUUAGCUACUUAAAUAACUAAAUACAAACUCAUUAGUAGCUGGAAGAAGAAUCACUUGAAAGAAAUUUAGACAUCGCAAAACAACCUUCGUGUUCUUAUAAAGUUCAGAAGAAGUAAGAUCCUCAAAAAAGUUUCCAGAAGUUGUCGCUGCAGAUCCGAGGCCUAAGGCUUCGAGUUCUCGGGCAAAAGUAUUUCCGUUUGCUGCGGCUGCAAUAGCACUUGCGCUAGUUGGAGUGGAUGGACUCCUGGGGGAUGGAGGCUCAGACUGUCAACAACAUUAUCACAUUAGCUUAGUGUGAAAUUGAAGCAUCUAAGAAAAUCACUUAAAUAGAACAGGUAUCAUAUCAUUUUUAGAUAUGAAAACACUGUAAAUAUAAGUACAAAAAUUGAUUGUAAAUUUUAGAUUCAUAUGUCUUUUGAUCUUUUCCUCAUUUUUAUUCUGAAAGUGAAAUAAUUGAAUUGACAAGUGACAUAUGUAUCUAACCUGAUGCAAAAUCCAUACAACAAUUCCAGCAAACUCAACUAUUCCGAUGUAUCUAUCAAUCCAAGUAGCAUCUUCAGGUGCAUCAACAUCCACAACAGGUGCACUCAGAAUAUUGUGACGUGCUAGUAUUUUCACAGCUUCAGCCAAGGUAGCAUCUGAUUUUAUUUCAAUUUCUAUACAAGCAAACAUAAAAUUCACACUUUUAGAACAAACCCAAUAAAAACACACCACAAAAAAAUUAUAACACACACACACAAUAACACAUCAAUUGGUCACACAUGCAUGUUUGGUACCAUAGUUGGUUGGUUUGUCAGAAUCACGGUGAACCACCAUGAUUCUGAUAUACUAUCGUGAUACCAAACAUGCACAUAAAUUUUCAUCUGGGUGUGAUCAAAAUCACUUUUUCUUUUAUUCAAUCAAAAUCAGACACAUACAUACAUAGACACUAAACUACCUUGGUUUUUAGCAGGCAAAGGAAAAGCAGAAACAGGUAUGCUUUCAAAACAAGCAUUAAGUUUGUCAUUAGGACUUAAUUGUGCCUCUUGAACAUCCCAUAGAUCUUCAACUCUCAUCCCAAGUUUGGCUUCAGGGCUCCUUGGCAUCUCUCUCAUUGUAGCCAUUGCCAUUACUCCCUCUUCUUUUCUCUCUCUGUGUAACUGCAUGAUGAAUUGAUGAUGAUGACAAUAUUAUAAGAUCUCUAUGUUUUUG
rnacentral:lncRNA from 1 species